CUGUGUCCCUGUGAAAAUCACUCUGAUAAACCAGUGCUUCCCUCCAGGGCAAUGGGUAUCAGUGAGAGAAUGCUGUAGAAUGUUGAAAACUUCACCCAAGAUGGUGAGAUAGGCAUCGUUUAUUUACUAAAUCAGAUUUGCUGCAAGUUUAGUAGUUUUAAUCAUAAAUUAAUAGCUUUGAACGUUGCUUUCUAAAAAUAUUCGUCCAUUAUUAAAUUUCUCAUUUUCAUAAAACUUUAAAUAUUUAGAACAUCUUUAAAGUGCCCUCCAUGGAGAAGAAUAAUGAGACCUUUUAUAGACUUAAUUUUUCUUAAUUUCUCUGACUAUAAUCAUAAUUGGUUUAGAACGUGGAUUUUAUCUACCAAAACAGUUUUCCUGCUUCCUCUUCCCUGUAUGGCUACGUAUUCAACAUACAAUUUGUAAUUCACAACACUUUUUCUCACAAAGAGUUGUGAGUCUGUGGAAUUAUCUGACUCAGAGGGCGGUGGAGGCCGGUUCUCUGGAUACUUUCAAGAGAGAGCUAGAAAGGGCUCUUAAAGAUAGCGGAGUCAGGGGAUAUGGGGAGAAGGCAGGAACGGGGUGCUGAUUGGGGAUGAUCAGCCAUGAACACAUUGAAUGGUGGUGCUGGGUCGAAGGGCCGAAUGGCCUACGCCUGCACCUAUUGUCUAUAGUCUAUUGUCUAUUGUAAUUGGCAUUUUUCAUUCCAAGCAAAAUCUACAUGAUUUAAGUUUCAAAUAUACCUCGAGCAAGAUGGAGAGAUUUGAACUUUAAUCAAGCACUAUGUAUUCUAGUUUAGUUUAGAGAUACAGCAUGGAAACAGGCUCUCUGGCCCAUGAGCCCACAUUGACUAUUGAUCACCCAUUCAUAGUACUUCUAGGAUAUUCCACAUUUGCACCACUACCUACACAUCAGGGGCAAUUUACAGAGGCCAAUUUACCUACAAACCCGCUUUACUUUGGAAUGUGGGAGGAAACUGGAGCAUUCGGAGAAAAACCAUGCAGUCACAGGGAGAACAUGCUUUCCGGUGGCUUAAUUCCAUGGUUAAAACCCUGUCACGGUGCGAGUCUACCCCGAGUGAUCCCGAGUUUAAAACAAAUCAAACUCGUGGUAAUCACGUAGAAUUAACGUAGCGGGAAGGUCGGAACUCGUAACGAUAACGGCAGGUACUCGGGAAACUUGUUAACUUGUGAAAAUCUAUCACGAUGAUGCAUGUUGGCCUUCAUUGCAAGAGGAUUUGAGUUUUGGAGCAAAGAGGUCCUACUUUAGUUUACAGGGCCAUGGUGAGAUCGUACCUGGAGUAUUGUGUGCAAUUUUGGUCUCCUAAUUUGAGGAAGAAUAUUAUUGCUAUUGAGGGAGUGCAGCGUAGGUUCACAAGAUUAAUUCCCGGGAAGGCGGGACUGACACAUGAUGAAAUAAUGGGUUGACUGGACUUGUAUUGACUGGGAUUUAGAAGGAUGAGAGGGAAAUCUUAUAGAAAUAUAUAAAAUACAGGAUUGGACAUGCUAGAUGCAGGAAAAAUGUUCCCGAAGUUGGGGGAGUUCAGAACCAGGGGUCACAGUUUAAGAAUAUAGGACUGAGAUGAGGAAAAAUUGUUUUCUCUAAGAGAGUUGUGAAUCUGUGGAAUUCUGCCACAGAAGGCAGAGGAGGCCAAUUCACUGGAUGUUUUCAAGAGAGUUAGAUUUAGCUCUUACGGCUAAGUCAAGGGAUAUAGGGAAAAAGCAGGAAUGGGGUACUGUGGCAUAAAGGGCCGAAUGGCCUUGUCCUGUAUCUAUUCUCUGUUUCUAUGUUUCUAUGAAAUGAAUCAGGCAGAUAAAAGUUGAUUUUGCGUCAUGUUCCUGAGCUACACUGUUCUAUGUUUUACAUUCUAACUGUAUUUAAUCAACAAAUUUUACAUCCUGUCACGUUGCCAGUGGCAUAGCUUGACAACAGUGCAAAUAUUGGGAUAAUAUUCAAAAAUUGUGGGUUAGAGCUGUGUGUAUGACUGCUGAUGAAAAUAUUCCAAUAUUAUGUGUUUUUAUAAAUAUUAAUCCAUGUUUACAGAAAACACUUCUGGCAGUGGUGGUGUUUGGGAGGAUGUAUACUUUUAAUGAAGGGACAGGUUGUUUGAACCUGGCGACUAUUGAGUGAAAUACCUUUGCAUGUAUCUUAACAUUGCAUAAAUGAUUUCUGAAUCCAACAUCUAUCAGUUCAUAUUCUCUCACAUUGCAGCAAAGCUGGAAGCUCAGCAGCAAAAAAUCAUUGGUAUUUAGACAACACCUCCAAUGUUAACACUUUAAACAUGUUGAUAAGGAAAUGGGUGCUGGUUCAUGAAGGACAGAUGAAGAGAGGGAUGAGUACUGUGAAAAGGAUGUCAGAGAAGCAGUUUAUGAAAGUGGAGAAUGGGCUGGAGUGGUAAAGGUCAGAGACAAGCUAGAGGUCAAGGGGCUGUAGGCAGAACCCUGACACAUAGAACCGAGGGGCACCAAUCUGCUACAUCUCUGGCCCCUCGGGUUUACCCUGGUAUAAAGAGUUGGACCCCAUUCAACUGAAUUUGGGGGUAAAUGCAGUUGGAGUAUUGAAUGGAGAAGAGCUUGCACUGAGAGCGUUUUCAAUGUCUUGGUCAAGCUGAUCCAGUUUCAUAAUGAGCAGAACCAUGGAGUCCAGACGGGAUCGAUCUCGAUCUUCCCUCAUUUCC